rnacentral:rRNA from 1 species
GAUGAACGCUGGCGGCGUGCCUAAUACAUGCAAGUCGAGCGAACAGAUGAGGAGCUUGCUCCUCUGACGUUAGCGGGGGACGGGUGAGUAACACGUGGAUAACCUACCUAUAAUACUGGGAGAACUUCGGGAAACCGGAGCUAAUACCGGAUAAUAUAUUGAACCGCAUGAUUCAAUAGUUAAAGACGGUUUUGCUGUCUCUUAUAGAUGGAUCCGCGCCGCAUUAGCUAGUUGGUAAGGUAACGGCUUACCAAGGCAACGAUGCGUAGCCGACCUGAGAGGGUGAUCGGCCACACUGGAACUGAGACACGGUCCAGACUCCUACGGGAGGCAGCAGUAGGGAAUCUUCCGCAAAGGGCGAAAGCCUGACGGAGCAACGCCGCGUGAGUGAUGAAGGUCUUCGGAUCGUAAAACUCUGUUAUUAGGGAAGAACAACUGUGUAAGUAACUCUGCACGUCUUGACGGUACCUAAUCAGAAAGCCACGGCUAACUACGUG